rnacentral:misc_RNA from 1 species
CCAAUAGCGUAUAUUAAAGUUGUUGCAGUUAAAAAGCUCGUAGUUGAAUUUUAGGCCUGGCCGGAUGGUCCGUCUUUGGCGAGUACUGUUCUGUCGUCGGGUCUAUCCUUCUGGUGAGCCGGGAUGCCCUUUAUUGGGUGUGUCGGGGAACCAGGACCAUUACCUUGAAAAAAUUAGAGUGUUUAAAGCGGGCAUUUGCUUGAAUAGAUUAGCAUGGAAUAAUAGAAUAGGACGUUGGUUCUAUUUUGUUGGUUUUAGGACCACCGUAAUGAUUAAUAGGGAUAGUUGGGGGCAUUAGUAUUCAAUGGUCAGAGGUGAAAUUCUUGGAUUUAUUGAAGACUAACUAUUGCGAAAGCAUUUGCCAAGGAUGUUUUCAUUAAUCAAGAACGAAAGUUAGGGGAUCGAAGACGAUCAGAUACCGUCGUAGUCUUAACCAUAAACUAUGCCGACUAGGAAUCGGGCGACGUUAUUUCAUGACUCGCUCGGCGCCUUAUG